rnacentral:rRNA from 1 species
GAGUUUGAUCCUGGCUCAGGAUAAACGCUGGCGGCGUGCAUGAGACAUGCAAGUCGAACGGACGGCUCGAGGCUUGCUUCGAGUCGUUAGUGGCGGACGGCUGAGUAACGCGUGGGUGACCUGCCCCGAAGUGGGGAAUAACUGCCCGAAAGGGUGGCUAAUACCGCAUGUGGUGAUGCGUUCAUUCGCAUCAGUAAAGCCGCAAGGCGCUUCGGGAGGGGCCUGCGUCCGAUUAGCUCGUUGGUGGGGUAACGGCUCACCAAGGCGACGAUCGGUAGGUGGUCUGAGAGGACGAUCACCCAGACUGGGACUGAGACACGGCCCAGACUCCUACGGGAGGCAGCAGUCGGGAAUUUUGCGCAAUGGACGAAAGUCUGACGCAGCAACGCCGCGUGAGGGAUGAAGGCCUUCGGGUUGUAAACCUCUUUUGUCAGGGACGAUGAUGACGGUACCUGACGAAUAAGCCACGGCUAACUACGUGCCAGCAGCCGCGGUAAUACGUAGGUGGCAAGCGUUGUCCGGAUUUACUGGGCGUAAAGAGCGCGCAGGCGGUCGUUCAAGUCGCGUGUGAAAGCCCCCGGCUCAACUGGGGAGGGUCACGCGAUACUGAUCGACUCGAAGGCAGGAGAGGGUAGUGGAAUUCCCGGUGUAGUGGUGAAAUGCGUAGAUAUCGGGAGGAACACCAGUGGCGAAGGCGACUACCUGGCCUGUUUCUUGACGCUGAGGCGCGAAAGCUAGGGGAGCAAACGGGAUUAGAUACCCCGGUAGUCCUAGCCGUAAACGAUGGACACUAGGUGUUG